UAUAUAUAUCGUCAUUUUUCAACAUUUCUUUUUGUACAAUGAGUCAAGAAAAAAACUUUAUCGAAAGCUUUAUAAGAUAGUAGUUAUUGGUCUGGACCGUCUUGUGAAAAUUAAGGGUGGAGUAAAAUAGAGGACUGUCCGAACAGAUAUAUCAAAGAAUACGAUUUAAUGGAAGACACUUUAUUGACAUUGGGCACAAUAAGAAUGGCCCAAUGCACACGUUCUACUACUAGUACGGCCAACUUGGAGACUCACCUUUUUCGCUUGUAACAUUAACGUGAUCGACGUCGCACGCGAUGGACCUCAUUUUUCGAAAUUCUCUUGCCGUUCUGAUAUCUUUGAAAAGACGAUUACGAGAACGAUAUGACUUUAGUAUCAUCGUAUCGGCGUGUACGAACGAACGAACGAACGAACGAACGAAUGUUACACGAAACGUCGUUUACGAGAAAAUCUUAGUGUGUGAAGAAAUAUUUAAAAGGAAGAAAAAGAGAGGGCUGUGAGAUUUUGAAUCGUUUUGAUUCGAUUUGAUUUGAUUUGAUUUUCUUUAUUUAUUUUUUUUUUUGUUUCUAAGGGGUUUCCAAUAUAACUUCGAUGUCGACCAAUUCGAGAGAAAUAAAAAAUGUAAAAAAAAAAAAAAAGAAAGAUUGAAAUUAAAAGGAACAGAAAUACCAAAGAAAAUUGAAUUUAUAAUAUUCGGGGGUGAAUCUUCUUCUUCUUUUUUUUUUUUUUUUUCUUAUUCAUUUCUAAUACCGUUUCGAUACAUUGUGAUCGGUUAAAAAAAAGUGGUAAUCGAUUAUUGUGAAGAAUUAUAAAAGAGUGAAGAAAUGAGAGAAGUAAAAUAAUGUCGCGAACCGACUGAAUAAAAAAAAAAGUCGUUGACUCGUCGGAAUUUUAAGACGAAAUCAAUAGAAUUUUUCAAUAGAAUUCGUUUUAAUAAUCGAUCCGAGUCAGUGAACCGUAGGUCAAAUGAUUUUUUAACGAUCCACGAUUUUUUUCAACGAUCUUUACAUUAUCAUCGUAGGGGUGAACAGCUGAUCGAAGGGAUUGAGGAUGAUCGGCCAUAUGCUUCUUCUUGCGAAGUUUCUGUGCAGUGUCAAAAAAAAAAAGAUAAAGAAAGAGAAAGGGGGAUGUAGCAAGCGAGAAAGAGAAAGAAAGAGAGAAAGAAAGAAAGAAAAAGAUUUGCCCGACCCUCAGUUGGAAGUGAGGAUCUAGGCAGUGAGUAAUAAAAGCUCUGAUAACUUGCCAGAUCUAACUCUUCCAGCUCAAGGUCGUGCGGAUUAUCGUCGUCGAUCAUCGAGAUUGAUUCUUCCGACUUUCUUGAUCCCAGGAAUAUGAUCUCGUAUCGAGAAUAUAAAGCAGAGAAAGAGAGACAGAUAGAGAGAAAUAGAAAGAGAAAGAGAGAGAGAGAAAUAAAGAGAGAGAGAGAGAAAGAGAGAGAGAGAUAAUUAAAGAUCUACAUGCUUUGGAAACAGGUGUCUAGGUUUAAGUGGAGAAGUGGUCUCUACGCUUUGUUAAUUAAGUGAGAUUCAACUCCUCCAACUUAUUCCUGGUUCUUCCUUAUCAUCGUCCAAUCGAAAAUCUAAUCGACUAUAAUUAUUGAAUCCAUAUUAAGGAUCCAAAGUUUCAAGCGAAAUUCUUCGUGAGAUUUAUGACAUCGUUAAAAAUUUAUUAUUAUCAAAAGUAUUAUUAAUCGACGUUUAACCAUGGAUUAGUUACUCGAUCUUAGCGUUAAGUCUUUUUAACUAAUAAGAAAAAUAAGAAAAGAAAAACCUUUGUAAUUUUCUUUUUCUUUUUUUUUUUUUUAAGAAGAAAAAUCUUAAAAAUCUUAGAAAAGGGAGAAAAAAAAAGAAAAAAGAUAUUUUAAAACAAGAUUAACAAUUUUAAUUAGGUUACAAUAAAUGUAACUCAUAUGUAUGUGUGUAUGUAUGUGUGUGUAUGCAUUUAAAGCGAUGUUACCACUUU